UCAUUACUGAGUGCGGGCUGCCUUCGGGCGCCCAACCUCCCACCCGUGACUACCUAACACUGUUGCUUCGGCGGGGAGCCCUCUCGGGGGCGAGCCGCCGGGGACUACUGAACUUCAUGCCUGAGAGUGAUGCAGUCUGAGUCUGAAUAUAAAAUCAGUCAAAACUUUCAACAAUGGAUCUCUUGGUUCCGGCAUCGAUGAAGAACGCAGCGAACUGCGAUAAGUAAUGUGAAUUGCAGAAUUCAGUGAAUCAUCGAGUCUUUGAACGCACAUUGCGCCCCCUGGCAUUCCGGGGGGCAUGCCUGUCCGAGCGUCAUUGCUGCCCAUCAAGCCCGGCUUGUGUGUUGGGUCGUCGUCCCCCCCGGGGGACGGGCCCGAAAGGCAGCGGCGGCACCGUGUCCGGUCCUCGAGCGUAUGGGGCUUUGUCACCCGCUCGAUUUAGGGCCGGCCGGGCGCCAGCCGACGUCCAACCAUUUUUCUUCAGGUUGACCUCGGAUCAGGUAGGGAUACCCGCUGAACUUAAACAUAUCAAUAAGCGGAGGGA
rnacentral:rRNA from 1 species